rnacentral:rRNA from 1 species
CCCCGGGAGACGACCGGGUGGAUAGGGCGGGGGUGGAAGCGUGGCAACACGUUGAGCUGACCGCCACUAAUAGGUCGAUGGCUUGGCCAUAAAA